rnacentral:rRNA from 1 species
GUGGGGAAUAUUGGACAAUGGGCGAAAGCCUGAUCCAGCCAUGCCGCGUGUGUGAAGAAGGUCUUCGGAUUGUAAAGCACUUUAAGUUGGGAGGAAGGGCAUUAACCUAAUACGUUAGUGUUUUGACGUUACCGACAGAAUAAGCACCGGCUAACUUCGUGCCAGCAGCCGCGGUAAUACGAAGGGUGCAAGCGUUAAUCGGAAUUACUGGGCGUAAAGCGCGCGUAGGGGGUUCGUUAGGUUGGAUGUGAAAGCCCCGGGCUCAACCUGGGAACUGCAUCCAAAACUGGCGAGCUAGAGUACGGUAGAGGGUGGUGGAAUUUCCUGUGUAGCGGUGAAAUGCGUAGAUAUAGGAAGGAACACCAGUGGCGAAGGCGACCACCUGGACUGAUACUGACACUGAGGUGCGAAAGCGUGGGGAGCAAACAGGAUUAGAUACCCGAGUAGUCC